CCUACGGGAGGCAGCAGUGGGGAAUAUUGGGCAAUGGAGGAAACUCUGACCCAGCGACGCCGCGUGCGGGAUGAAGGCCUUCGGGUUGUAAACCGCUUUCAGUAGGGAAGAAGCGAAAGUGACGGUACCUACAAAAGAAGCACCGGCUAACUAUGUGCCAGCAGCCGCGGUAAUACAUAGGGUGCAAGCGUUGUCCGGAAUUAUUGGGCGUAAAGAGCUCGUAGGUCGUUUGUUACGUCGGAUGUGAAAACCUGAGGCUCAACCUCAGGCCUGCAUUCGAUACGGGCAAACUAGAGUUUGGUAGGGGAGACUGGAAUUCCUGGUGUAGCGGUGGAAUGCGCAGAUAUCAGGAGGAACACCAAUGGCGAAGGCAGGUCUCUGGGCCAAUACUGACACUGAGGAGCGAAAGUCUGGGGAGCGAACAGGAUUAGAUACCCUGGUAGUCCAGACCGUAAACGGUGGGCACUAGUUGUGGGAACCUUCCACGGUUUCUGCGACGCAGCUAACGCAUUAAGUGCCCCGCCUGGGGAGUACGAUCGCAAGAUUAAAACUCAAAUGAAUUGACGGCUGAGACGNGCGAGACGACGACGAGGAGAGG
rnacentral:rRNA from 1 species